AUACGGAGGGUGCAAGCGUUAUUCGGAAUCACUGGGCGUAAAGGACGCGUAAGCGGGUUGGCAAGUCAGAUGUGAAAUCCUACAGCUUAACUGUAGAACUGCAUUUGAAACUGCUAACCUAGAGUAUGGGAGGGGGAGAUGGAAUUAGUGGUGUAGGGGUAAAAUCCGUAGAUAUCACUAGGAAUACCGAAAGCGAAGGCGAUCUCCUGGAACAUAACUGACGCUAAGGCGUGAAAGCGUGGGGAGCAAACAGGAUUAGAUACCCUAGUAGUCC
rnacentral:rRNA from 1 species